CCUACGGGAGGCAGCAGUGAGGAAUAUUGGUCAAUGGCCGGAAGGCUGAACCAGCCAAGCCGCGUGAAGGACGAAGGUGCCAAGCAUUGUAAACUUCUUUUGUCAGGGAAGAGUAGAAGACGGUACCUGACGAAUAAGCCACGGCUAACUACGUGCCAGCAGCCGCGGUAAUACGUAGGUGGCAAGCGUUGUGCGGAUUUACUGGGUGUAAAGGGCGUGUAGCCGGGUUGACAAGUCAGAUGUGAAAUCCUGCGGCUUAACCGCAGAACUGCAUUUGAAACUGUUGAUCUUGAGUACUGGAGAGGCAGACGGAAUUCCUAGUGUAGCGGUGAAAUGCGUAGAUAUUAGGAGGAACACCGGUGGCGAAGGCGGUCUGCUGGACAGCAACUGACGGUGAGGCGCGAAAGCGUGGGGAGCAAACAGGAUUAGAUACCCCAGUAGUC
rnacentral:rRNA from 1 species